rnacentral:lncRNA from 1 species
UAUAUAAAUGAUUAUGGUGUGUUUAAACUUUUUUCAUUAAUUAAUACAUAUUUUCUACACUCACAAUGUUUGCCAGCUCGCUAUAUAAUCAACUUAAAUCAGGUAAAUCCAUCAUGCAAUGCAUUUCCUUCCAAUUUUUUGUGAUAAACUAAUAGAUAAUUGACUAAAUAAACAUCAUGCAAAGUUUCAAUAAAAAUUUCCAAGUUUUUCUUACAAUUUCCAUGGUUUUUAUUCAAUUUUUAUCGAUAUCGAUAAUAUCCCGAUAUUUCUAUCGAAAUUUCCAUGUUUUUGGACUACCAAUAUUUCCGAUAUCAUCGAUAUUUUAGACCUUGGUUUUAUGUUAUAUUUUCUUUUAGGCUAUACUUUCAUUUGGUUUGCUUUGAGCUUUCUAUCUCUUGUAUUAGCUACUUUUUUUUUUUUUUUAAUUGUAUUAGCUUUUUUUAAUUAAUGAAAGUUAUCUAAUUUGACCAAAAUAAAAAUAAUUAAUUUCCUUUUUUCUUAGUAGACAUUGCUUUAGUGCUAUGUAAUUCAAUGCAACAUGUGGUUAACUGCACUGACUAAUUGAAAGCCGAUCUUCUGAGCAUGCAUUUUGACUUAUUGUUAACAUCUCACCAAUGACAUUGCUAUUGUUACAUCCUGACACGUCCCGAUCCCGAUAUUCCUCAAAUACCAAGAUAGGCACGUGCUGACCGACACCCGAGGGUGACGAAAGCCAUUAAUUGAUACAAAGGCUAAGAAUAAGAAAUAAAUAGGAGUUAGAAAUUUAAAAUACAAUGAAUUAAUAAUUUAGGAACGUGUUCAGAGCAUACUGUGGAUGCAAAUUUUCUCCUCUUCGAUCUUGGACGAUUUUGCACCUACAAAACAACUAGCACCUUAGGUUAAGGCCAAAAGCCUCACGCGCCCACGAUGAAUUGGGGGGGGGCUUUGGCCGAAGAACCUCCGAUGCCAAAGUUAGAAAUUUAGAGAGAAAUAGUGUUUAGAGUGUUUUUGAAUUUUUGCAAGAGGUUUGGAAUGAGUGUUUGGUAGAAAUGGGUGACUAUUUAUAGGACCAAAAUGGUCCACAUUUUCAAGAAAAGGGCCGGCCCCUUUGUGUGCUUUUGGGUGAAUUUUUGGUUUUAUUAGCCACUUUAUUGGCUAAUAAAAUACAAUAGAAAUAAAUGGGAAGUUACUAAAUUGAAUGGUUAUCAUUAUUUGGCUAAUAUAGUGGAAGAAAUUUGAAAAGGUGUGGAGCAAAGAGAGGGAAUGUGGCCGGUCUACUAGGUGGGAUUUUAGGGUUUAUUUUAGGUUUAAUUAGCCAAUUAAUUGGCUAAUUAAAUAUGAAAGGAAAUGUUUUUGUGCUUUAUGGUGUUAAUUGGCUAAUAAAAGGGAAGAGAUGAUGGAAAAGGUAGAAAAAAGGUAAUGUAUUAGGUUUUGAAUGGGGUAGCCGGCCCUAUUCUAUUUUUUAGGUUUGAAUGGAUGUUUCAAAUUGACAAUUAAGGGAUUGAUUAGGUAAUUAAUUCCUUAAUUAGUCAAUUAUUAUGAUUUUAUAAAAUAUGAAAGGAAUAAGUAUAUUAUUUAGCUAAUUGAUUAGCUAAAUAAUGAAAUGGGAAAUAUAUGAAUAAAUUAGGCUUUAAGUUGAUACCUAUUUUGGGCACUUUUGACUUGGUUGAAAAAAUGAUUCUCUACUGCUCGCGUGUAGGAAACCCGGUAUGCCUCGAGGGUAUUUUUGUCCUCUUUUGUCCAAAAGUCCACGUGUCGCCUAGUGAAUAUUUUUGGCUCCACAAAUGCCCCCACACCUGUUGGGCUGCUCGCAAAAAAAGGGCAGCAGGUGUAGAGAUCUUCUUGCUUUAGGAAACUUAAGAUUGCUUCCUAUUUUGAUGUUGAUUCUCUCUUUAAUAGGAAAUUAGAUCCUUCUAGGAAAGGGAAAUAAAUUUCUCUCAAAGCCUAUUUAAGUCACCUUAAGUGGGUUAUUAAAUCAACUUUGGAGAGUGAUUUAUUCUACCCUACAAGAGAGAGAUAGCUUAGAGGAUAUUUGUUCCCCCUCCUCUAGCAAUCUUCUACAUCUUGCCCGUGCAAAGGACCGUCUUUCGUUGCUUUCUUCGUCUUCUUUGUGCCGCACCGAUGUAAGAAAAAAUUAAUUUUUCUUGCCUUAUUCUUGGAUAGUGCUAUUGCGGGGCAGCCGUCGGGGUGGUGCGGCACAUAGGCUGGCAGGGGCCAGGAGUUGGCUCGGCAUGGGCCGAGGAGAUGUUGUGGCAGGGACCACUGCUUGGGCAGCUUGGCUUGGCUUGAGCCAAAAGGCAGCUUGUGCAACUAGGGUCGCGGAUUGUGGCGCUGGGGCGCAGUGCUAGGCGAGCCGCAUGGCUCAUGUCCUUUGGGCUCUUGGACCUGACUCGGGCCAGGCUGGUGAUUGAGAGAAAUAAGGAGAUUGCGGGUCUCAUGGGCUGCUGGAAUGUUGGGCAUGCAGGCCUCCUGCCUGUUGGAAUGCUGGGUUGAGCUCCCCUGCUGAGUACCAUGAAUGUCGUUGGCUGCUUAGUCCUCUUUGCCGAAAGAAAGGUGGGCUGCUCCAGAAAGAGGAGGUAAAGAGGAUCAAGGCGGAUGCAUUGGCUCGUCUGAUCGCUGUUGUGGAGCUUACUAUGAAUGAAGAUGGAAAGAAGAGAUCUUCCCCGCCUACUCAUGAGAUGCCAGUUAAGAAAAAACUGAAGACUUCUUCUGCUGCUCAUGAGGGUCCGCUUGCUACCGAGAGGUAUGUGAUUGACAUGAUUUUCCAAUGGGAAGAAAUGUAAGGCUGCUAGAUCUGAGCAUGUGGCGUCUUCCAUGUUGAGAAUGGCUAGUACAAUUGUGGAUAAGAUUACUCAGCGUAAAGGUUUUAUCAUGCCCCCAGUGCCGAAGUCUGUACCAGGACGUUCUUUGGGAGCCAAGUCCGGUUCACCUUUGUAGAGACUUGCUAUUAUGAACAGUGGUAAGGUGGACUCUGCUGCUAAAGUGGCGCUAAAGCCUGCUCCCUUUGCUGCUGAGAUUGAUUCGCCUCAGAUUCAAGAUCUUAAGCUUGCAAUUUCUGAGCUUCGUUUCGCUACUUAUGCUAAGAAGAGAGUGGAUGAGCUUCUCUAUUUCUCCGGAAGACUUGCUUGCUUUUACUUUUAAGGCUUCCAUUGGUGAAGUAGUUGGAGAAGUUAGUGCCUAUAUUGGGGCAGCCGGGGAUGAAGCGUCGGAUGAUGCCGCUGCUAAGAGCGUUACGGCUGUUGAAGGUGUGGCGACCGAGUAGUCGUGGAAUGUCCAAGCUGCUGUAGUGUAGUAUUUUAGGUAGCCUUUAGGAUUUUCUUCGUUUUUCCUUGUAGCUUUUGUUUUGCUUGAACUCCUUCAACCUUUGCUAGUUGUUUAUAAACAUGUUUUCCUUCGUUUUUCUUCAUCUUCACUUCUUUUGUUCAUGCCCUAACCUUUAAACUUGAUAGACCAGUGGCAGGCAUGCUACUUUUUUAUAAGCAGACAAACUCGCGUAGCCUAUGCAGCCGUAGGUGUUGGUGUAGAACUUUUGCAAAGUUGUUAGCCAUAGGGUUGGCAGUCGGAUGCCUUACUUACAGAAGCAGACAAGUCCGCGUAACCACUAGGCUGUUAACUUUAACUUUCUUCAAUUCCGUAGGUUGCGUAGCAAGUAUCACAACACUUUAGGACUUGGUGUAGGUUGUUCCGCGCUUGGCAGAGGUGAAGCUUAUCGACUACGUAGCAUGUCGGCAGUGGAUAAAACUUCGUAUAUGCGCGCUAGCUUGUUCUAACCUUUCACAAGAAUGUGCGGUUGUAUAAGUCUAGUGCGGCUUCACUGCUCGAAGGGCAAGCCGUAGGCAGUCUUUCCGGAAUCCGUAGGCUACCUUAGUGCACUCGGUAGCAGCUUUAGGAUUCCAGGGCAGCCGUCCAUCGGAUGUACUGCGUAAUGUGCCCUCUCCCGUCUCUAGGGCCCAGUUCCCCACGGAUUAGGCCAAGAGACCCAAAAUCCUUCAGUUAGCUAAACCUUGAAAAAGACCAUUGCGGCUACUUCUAGGAAUCCCGGCGCAAGCCAUCGUGCAUCUAGUUAUACUAGGGCAGCCAGGCUCAUCCACGUCUGGAUAUUCGGAGUGUAAAGUUUAUCCUCCCGUCUUGGAGAGCUGACCCAUAUGGGUGUCGGAGAAUUGGUUUACCCUCUCGCACUGGAGAGCAUGGUUGGUCCCUCGGGGGCGCAAUUCCUGCGAUGAGUCCCUAAAGAAGGGUGCAGUCUUCUUUUGAAGUGCAAGAGUGAUUAGUUGUUGUAAGCAUGCAGCCAAGCCAAGUUGUGAUUACUUCUAAAUUCCUCAUUGAAAAACGAGUGAAACGAACGAGAACUUUAGCUGUAAGGUAGGAACUGCAUAACAACUGGAUAGUCCUCAGCUUGUGAGGUGGUGCCCGUCGAGCUUAUUGAGUCUUCGGGUUUUGAUGUAGCGGGAGGUCACACAUGGUACUUCUUCAGAUUGUAGGCCAUCCAUUUUUUUUUAAUCUUUUUGCCGCUUCAUGGUGGUGAGGGUGUAAUUACUCUUGCCCCCUACUUUGCUGAUCUUGUACGGACCUUCCCAGAUGGGAUCCAUCUUUUUGGAGCCUUCUCUGCCGGCAGUGAUGAAGGCUUUUCUACGCCGUCGACAUGCAAAUGCCAGAAGUCUCCAUCGGGUGGAGUAGGCGCAGCUAGAGUGUGCUCGGCUACUUCUGAGGCAUCGUUGGGCCGCUCUGUUGCGUCACCUAGGCUCGGCGUGAAGGCGCAGUAGGGAGUUGUGGAGAUGGGGCCAUGUUACACGCAACAGGAGAUGUUCAACUGCCGGUAUUGGGCCACUCUAGAGUUGAAUCAUUGAGCAAGGGUCGGCUAGGGCCGUGUGAUGCGCAGCAAGAAAUGGUACUCAACUGCCGUUACAUGUUGCUCCUAUGUAGAAUCUUUCAGGGUGACGAGGACAAAACUUACUUUCAAGUGUGUCUUUCCAGUGUUACGUUCGUCAGAAAACUUUACAUCCGCCAGGGUCUACGCCUUUAUCGUCGCGCGUCUGGAUUGGGCAGAAUAGUACGUCAUUAAGAUGAUUGCAUGCGUUUGAAAGUAAAAUUUGUGUUUCUAGGUUGCAACAACUAUCGCCAAAGUUAACUUUUGAAUUUUUAAUAACAUCGAUGAGAGCUUUUGAACUGUAGAAUACAGGUAACUGUGGAAUACAGGUAGUCGGGCCCCCAUCUCUUCUCGUAUGAUGGUAGAGCUUAUUGCUACUUUAGAUAACGUCAAACAUGUGAAUAAGUCCUCCGCUGCUUCUAGGGAGGUGAUGUCGGGUACUUCUUCAAGUCCUUGAAUGUGCAUUGGCGAGCCUCAUCCCAAAGUGCAUACUUCUCUGCCAAAGCAAAAGAGUCUGCCAGAGUUAGAUCUUCUUUCAUGAUCAAUUUUCCGAAUAGCGGGUGGUCUGCUGGAAGUCCUUUUUGGAAGACUGCUCUAGCUAUCGAGUGUUGCAUCCGACUAUUUUUGCCUUCUCUACUUUGAACCUCCUCACAUAGUCGCGAAGUGACUCCUUUGGGUUCUUCUUGACGUUGAACAAAUGAUCAGACUUCUUUUUUAUUGAGCGAUAGGAUGAAUAUUCUUUGGUGAAAACCAAAGAAAGUUCGUAGAAAUCCCGGAUGGAUUGUGGUGGUAGGGUGUAGAACCAAUCUUGCGCCUCGCCUUGUAGAGUGGUGGCGAAUAUCUUGCACAUGAGCUCAUCGUUGUUUCGAUAAAGGAUCAUUGCGCUUCGGUAGCGCUUUAAGUGUCUCUCCGGGUCUUCAUCCCCUUUGAAAGAUGUGAAAUGUGGCAUGCUGAACUCUCGUGGAGGCUCUGCCUGCCUGCUCGAUCUCGUCCGUGAAGGGUGACCUGCUUAUGUUGGUCAUGUUCCGUCGUAGUGCCUCGUUGGUGACCUCGUUGCGUUGGAAAUCAUGCAAUCGCUUGGUCAAGAGUCUUUCUACUUCUUCCUGAAUUUUCCUUUGUUGGGGUAGUGCAGCUCUCGGCUGCCCCCAACCAUGACUUGCUGGUCUAGGCUGCUCUUCCAUGUGUUUGGCUCGUCUAUGCCGCAGAUGCAGUGCAUAUGGUGCAUUCCUAGCAGGCGAGCGAGUUCUUCGCAGGCUGCUGGUUGUACUUGAGCUGGAUUGAGUGACUGCUUCUCUCCGUCCGUCGUGCUGCCUACUCUGAUGUGAGGUGGAUGAUGCUCCUUGUGGCUUAGCCGCGAAUGAACACUUUGUCUGGAAGGUUGCUCAUGUUGACUAUCGGAGUGUGACCCCAACCGUGAAAUGUAUGCUCAUCUGUGGGCCUAGUCGAGAGUACACGCUCCUCCGCGCGCUAAGGACGGGAGUAUACGCUAUCUCGGGGGCCCAAUCGGGAAUGUACACUGCCUAAACGUUCAGCUCGUGGCUGGUCGAAUGGCUGCUUGCUGGAUGCUGCUGGAAAGGUUCGUCUGCCCUUGUCCUACUUCGGGAUACCUCAUCCGGGGCACGUUGGAUCCCGAUGCGUUGCAAAAGUUGAUUCACCAAAGUUGUCUGUUGUGCAAGGUGCUCGUCAACUCUAAUGACUUGUCGAGACAAGUGUUGUUUCGCCAUUUGGAUUGGAAGAGCUUGGAAGGAAUGCGCCUCCUUGAGUAGUGGAAGGGUGGUAGACUCCGGGCGCGAGAUUUGAGUUGGGAAAUGUCAAAUCCGUAAAAAAAUGUGGUGAGAAUGCCCCCGGCUCGAUGGUAGGUCCAGAUGGUUGAGAUAGUUUUGGGCCGACUUGGGCUGCUUGGCAAGCCACGGGAGCAGUGUGGGCCUUGAGAGUGGGCUGCUCGUCGGGAGUGGGCUGCUCGUUGGGAGCAGGCUGGGUCACGAGAGCAGGCUGCUUGGCAGGAGCAGGUUGCUUGGCGGGAGCAGGCUGGGCCACGGAAGCAGGCUGCUUGGCAGGAGCAGGUUGCUUGGCGGGAGCAGGCUGGGCCACGGAAGUAAGCUGCUUGGCAGGAGCAGGCUGGGCCACGGGAGUGGGCUGCUUGGCAGGAGCAGGCUGGGCCACGGGAGUGGGUUGCUCGACGGGAGCAGGCUGGAUCACGGGAGCAGGCUGCUCAAUGCGCGGUGCAUGUGAAUGCGAGGCUUGGGCUUGGGUCCACGUGAACUUGGAUGGCACGGCUUGGAUCGUGGUCUUUGGUACCGUGAGCCUUGGAUGGCACGGCUCGGGCCGUGGUGAAGGCUCCAUGGACCUCGCCACGAGUGGCUACCGAAGUAGCCAUCGUGGUGGUUCCCAUGGUGGCCGUGGUGAAGGCAUCAUGGACCUCGCCGUGGGUGGCUACCGAGGUAGCCACCACGGUGGUUCCCAUGGUGGAAGCUCGUGGUGAUGAUGCCGCUCCCCUUAUUGUUGCAUUUUGCCUUACGGAUCUCCGGGUCGUGGUGAAGGCUCCAUGGACCUCGCCACGAGUGGCUACCGAAGUAGCCACCGCGGUGGUUCCCAUGGUGGCCGUGUGAAGGCACCAUGGACCUCGCCGCGGGUAGCUACCGAAGUAGCCACCACGGUGGUUCCCAUGGUGGAAGCUCGUGAUGAUGAUGCCGCUCCCCUUAUUGUCGCAUUUAGCCUCACGGAUCUCCGCAAUCCCAUUUCUUGAACAUUAGAAUUUUCACUUGUGGAAUUUUCUAAAUUUCUAGCCAUUAUAUUUUGCUUAUACGUUUUAUCAAAGAACCUUUGCAAGUAAAAAAUUCUAAUAAUAAGAACGUAUGAAAAAUAUUCAAAUGGACUAGAAAAUAAAGAAAAAACCUUUUUUGUGCGAGAGUCUUCUACGAGUAUGGAUUUCAACUCUCAAUGAAAGCACCAAUUUGUGGAUGCAAAUUUUCUCCUCUUCGAUCUUGGACGAUUUUGCACCUACAAAACAACUAGCACCUUAGGUUAAGGCCAAAAGCCUCACGCGCCCACGAUGAAUUGGGGGGGGGCUUUGGCCGAAGAACCUCCGAUGCCAAAGUUAGAAAUUUAGAGAGAAAUAGUGUUUAGAGUGUUUUUGAAUUUUUGCAAGAGGUUUGGAAUGAGUGUUUGGUAGAAAUGGGUGACUAUUUAUAGGACCAAAAUGGUCCACAUUUUCAAGAAAAGGGCCGGCCCCUUUGUGUGCUUUUGGGUGAAUUUUUUGUUUUAUUAGCCACUUUAUUGGCUAAUAAAAUACAAUAGAAAUAAAAUGGGAAGUUACUAAAUUGAAUGGUUAUCAUUAUUUGGCUAAUAUAGUGGAAGAAAUUUGAAAAGGUGUGGAGCAAAGAGAGGGAAUGUGGCCGGUCUACUAGGUGGGAUUUUAGGGUUU